UUGCUUUUGCAGCACAUAUACUAAAAUUGAAAAGAUACAGAAAAUACUAGAGUGGCCUCCACAAGAGGAUAACAUGAAUUUAUUAAAUGUGCCAUGGGUUUUG
ensembl:snRNA U6 U6 spliceosomal RNA